rnacentral:lncRNA from 10 species
AGACAGGAAAAACACCCAAAAGGUAAAGGCCAGGCUGGUUCAUGCCGGACACCUAACCCCCUGCUACCACAUGCUGUUUUCCACACUGGGUGCUGGCCUGUGGGAACCUGCACAAGUCGGGGGCAACAUGGUCCCAGGAAGUCUUUGACAGGCUGCCCCCUGCUGGCUGCUGCGGGAACCACAUGGCAGAUGGCUCCUGGUGUCCCCUGGAAGUCAGGUCUUGCUCUGUCACCCAGGCUGGAGUGUGUGGUGCGAUCAUGCCUCACAGCAGCCUUGACAUCCCCAGGCUCAGAUGAUCCUCCCACCUCAGCCUCCUGAGUAGCCGCGACUACAGGCGCAUGCCACCACACCCAGGGUCCCAUCCAGAUACCACAUGACACCCGGUUGUCCUGUCUUCGGAGGCUCCUCCUGGCUGGGACAGCUUCUCAGACUUUCCUUGCUGCGAUGGCUGCUCAAGCUUUGAGGAGUACAGUCAGUGUUCUAUAGAACGUCUCUCUCGCUACUGAAAUUCGUCUAAUGUUUUUCUCAUGAUUAGACUGGGGUUGGGCAUGUUUAGAAAGAAGACCACAGAAGUAAAGUGCCUCCCUCAUCACACCGUGUCAAGGGUACACACCACCACGUGACUUCUCCCUGUCGCUGCUGACCUGGCCACCUGGCUGAGGCAGGAUUGCUCAGCUUCCUCCAUUCUCAGCUUUACACUUGUGAUCUCCUUUCCACGCUGCACUCGCUGGAAGGGAGUCACUGUAUGCAGCCA